UACGUAGGGUGCAAGCGUUAUCCGGAAUUAUUGGGCGUAAAGAGCUCGUAGGCGGUUUGUCGCGUCUGCUGUGAAAACCGGAGGCUCAACCUCCGGCCUGCAGUGGGUACGGGCAAACUAGAGUGCGGUAGGGGAGAUUGGAAUUCCUGGUGUAGCGGUGGAAUGCGCAGAUAUCAGAAGGAACACCGAUGGCGAAGGCAGAUCUCUGGGCCGUAACUGACGCUGAGGAGCGAAAGCGUGGGGAGCGAACAGG
rnacentral:rRNA from 1 species